AUGCGGCUGGUAUCCUAGCGAGCCUCAAGCCCUUCGCCCCGAGAAGAUGGCUGAUCCUUGGCAGGAAUGCAUGGAUUAUGCAGUAACUCUAGCAAGACAAGCUGGAGAGAUGGCUCGUGAAGCCCUAAAAAAUGAAAUGAAUAUUAUGAUCAAAAGUUCUCCAGUUGAUUUGGUAACUGCUACUGACCAAAAAGUUGAAAAAAUGCUUAUCUCUUCCAUAAAGGAAAAGUAUCCAUCUCACAGUUUCAUUGGUGAGGAAUCUGUGGCAGCUGGGGAAAAAAGUAUUUUAACUGACAGCCCUACGUGGAUCAUUGACCCUAUUGAUGGAACAACUAACUUUGUACAUGGAUUUCCUUUUGUAGCUGUUUCAAUUGGCUUUGUUGUUAAUAAAAAGAUGGAAUUUGGAAUUGUAUACAGUUGCAUGGAGGAUAAGAUGUAUGCUGGCCGGAAAGGAAAAGGUGCCUUUUGUAAUGGUCAAAAACUACAGGUUUCACGCCAAGAAGAUGUUACCAAAUCACUCUUGGUGACAGAGUUGGGCUCUUCCAGAACACCAGAGACUGUGAGAACUAUUCUUUCUAAUAUGGAAAGGCUUCUUUGCCUUCCCAUCCAUGGGAUCCGAGGUGUUGGAACAGCAGCUCUUAAUAUGUGCCUUGUGGCAGCUGGAGUUGCAGAUGCAUAUUAUGAAAUGGGAAUUCACUGCUGGGAUGUAGCAGGUGCUGGUGUUAUUGUGACUGAAGCUGGUGGAGUACUCUUGGAUGUAACAGGUGGACCAUUUGAUUUAAUGUCACGAAGAAUAAUUGCUUCAAACAAUAAGACAUUAGGGGAAAGGAUAGCCAAAGAAAUUCAGAUAAUACCUCUUCAAAGAGAUGAUGAGGAUUAAUUCUAACAGCUUCACACAUUCAAUCACAGUUGC